rnacentral:lncRNA from 1 species
UGAGGCACUUCCAAGUAAUGGCGUGGUAGAUUCUGGACAUCAGACCAGUAAUGAUGUGGUUGUAUCUGAAACGCAGCGCAGCAAUGAGGUGGUUUUACCUGAAGCAGAGCAAAACAAUGAGGUGGUUUUACCUGAAGCAGAGCAAAACAAUGAGGUGGUUUUACCUGAAGCAGAGCAAAACAAUGAGGUGGUUUUACCUGAAACUGACCAAAGAGAUGAGGUGGUUAUAUCUGAAACCCAGCAAAGAGACGAGGCAGUUUUAUCUGAAACCCAGCAAGGCGAUGAAGCAGUUUUAUCUGAAACCCAGCAAAGCCAU